CUAAGAAUAUUCCGCAAUGGACGGAAGUCUGACGGAGCGACGCCGCGUGGAUGACGAAGGCCGAAAGGUUGUAAAGUUCUUUUACUGGGGAAGAAUAACCGCAGGAGGGAAUGCCUGUGGGAUGACAAGAACCGGCGAAUAAGCCCCGGCCAACUACGUGCCAGCAGCCGCGGUAACACGUAGGGGGCGAGCGUUGUUCGGAAUUACUGGGCGUAAAGGGCAUGUAGGCGGCUUGGAAAGCCUGGCGUGAAAGUCUGCAGCUUAACUGCAGGGGUGCGCUGGGAACUGCUGAGCUUGAGUGACGGAGAGGGAGCUGGAAUUCCUGGUGUAGGGGUGAAAUCUGUAGAUAUCAGGAAGAACACCGAUGGCGAAGGCAAGCUCCUGGCCGAUGACUGACGCUGAGGUGCGAAAGUGUGGGGAUCAAACAGGAUUAGAUACCCUGGUAGUCCACACAGUCAACGAUGUGCACUAGGUGCUGGGGCGGUAGCUUCGGUGCCGGAGCGAACGUGGUGAAGUGCACCGCCUGGGGAGUAUGCUCGCAAGGGUGAAACUCAAUGAAUUG
rnacentral:rRNA from 1 species